rnacentral:rRNA from 1 species
AUUGAACGCUGGCGGCAGGCCUAACACAUGAAAGUCGAACGAGUGGCGGACGGGUGAGUAAUGUCUGGGAAACUGCCUGAUGGAGGGGGAUAACUACUGGAAACGGUAGCUAAUACCGCAUCCCAUCAGAUGUGCCCAGAUGGGAUUAGCUUGUUGGUGUGGUACCGGCUCACCAAGGCGACGAUCCCUAGCGGGUCUGAGAGGAUGACCAGCCACACUGGAACUGAGACACGGUCCAGACUCCUACGGGAGGCAGCAGUGGGGAAUAUUGGACAAUGGGCGAAAGCCUGAUCCAGCCAUGCCGCGUGUGUGAAGAAGGUCUUCGGAUUGUAAAGCACUGUAAGUUGGGAGGCGUGACCAACAGAAUAAGCACCGGCUAACUUCGUGCCAGCAGCCGCGGUAAUAC